rnacentral:rRNA from 1 species
UACGUAGGGGGCAAGCGUUGUCCGGAUUUAUUGGGCGUAAAGAGCGUGUAGGCGGCCAGGUAGGUCCGUUGUGAAAACUGGAGGCUUAACCUCCAGCUGUCGAUGGAAACCAUCUGGCUAGAGUCCGGAAGAGGAGAGUGGAAUUCCUGGUGUAGCGGUGAAAUGCGCAGAUAUCAGGAAGAACACCCGUGGCGAAGGCAGCUCGCUGGGACGGUACUGACGCUGAGGCGCGAAAGCGUGGGGAGCAAACAGG